CUGCAGCAUGUUGAUGUGAACGCAGUCUUGAGUUCUUCUUCUCAGAUCAAAGGAAACACAGAACAUUAUCAGAAUGGAGUUAAUGGAUAUUGAUGACAUGUAUAUAAGGAAGAUCCUCUCAACGGACGGCCUCAUCACCGAAGUGGACUCUCAGAGAAGAAAGCAGCCCUCCAGGUGUGUGACUGCGUGUCUCGGGUUACUGUGUGCUGUCCUGCUGGCUGGUAACGUCGCACAGUUUAUCUACUAUGAGAUAAUCAGCCGUCUGUCAGCUGACCCAACGCAGGCCAACUACACCGUUCAAGGAGAUUCACUGCAGAGCAGAUACGAUGCUUCCACUUUAGACAGAAAACAGCUCGAGGCCACGCUGACUAACCUGACCAAAGAAAAAGAGACGUUGCACCAAAGUUACAAUUCUCUGACUGCUGAACGAGAUGAUUUCAAGAACAGUUUCAACAAUCUGAAAAACGAGAGGGAACAGCUGCAAGCCAAUUACAGCAGCCUGCAGACAGUGUCUAUUACGCUCAGAGCAAACACAGAUCAGCUACAGAGCAGUUACUCUUCACUGAAGAGGAGCCAGAACCAGUUGCAAAGAAGCUACAAUACACUGAGUACAACUAAAAGUCAACUUCAGAUCAGCUACAGUUCAUUAAGUAAAGACAAGGACCAGUUGCAAAGUAGUUACACUUCUCUGCUGAGGGUAAAAGAGCAGUUGCACCAAAGUUACAAUUCUCUGACUGCUGAACGAGAUGAUUUCAAGAACAGUUUCAACAAUCUGAAAAACGAGAGGGAACAGCUUCAAGCCAAUUACAGUAGCCUGCAGACAGUGUCUAUUACGCUCAGAGCAAACACAGAUCAGCUACAGAGCAGUUACUCUUCACUGAAGAGGAGCCAGAACCAGUUGCAAAGAAGCUACAAUACACUGAGUACAACUAAAAAUCAACUUCAGAUCAGCUACAGUUCAUUAAGUAAAGACAAGGACCAGUUGCAAAGUAGUUACAAUUCUCUGCUGAGGGUAAAAGAGCAGUUGCAGACCCAUUACAGCAGUUUGGCUGCAGUUAAAGAUCAGUUAGGAAAGGAGAUUGCCACAUUAAGAGCCAGGCCCGUGUCAGACAGACUGGAGGAGGUUCGGCGACAGCUGUUACAUCGUUUCAACUGUGAAGAAAAACUGGGAGUCGAGCAGACAAAACUGCAUCGCAUGGAGAGCAGAGCUGGUCAUCAUAAACAGCCUUAUUGAACAGGAGUUUGUCAACGGGUUAAUAGACUCGAUACUAUACGCCUGGAUUGGCUUGAGUCUUAAAGAGGGGACCUGGAAGUGGGUGGAUGGGACCCCGGUCACCUCAACGUACUGGACGAAAAAUCAACCCAACAACGCGAAUGGGGAUCAGGACUGUGGAGAAGUUUUGCAAAGUGCAAGUUCGGGAGAGAAGGGAUGGAAUGAUGAACGCUGUUCUGCCGAUCAACACUUUAUCUGCGAGCAAUAAGAUCACCAAAGUCUGUACAUCAUUACCAGGACCAUUUCAGAGUUGUGACACGAUUGGGAGAAUAUUAUAAGUGAAGAACAAGGACGUGGGACAGAAGGUCAGGACUGAACUUCCACGCUUCAUGCUCGAGAGCCACAAUGUCCCAGACUUUAGAUUUUUCUCCGUUACUGAUUGAUUUGAUGUUCCAGAACCAAACUUUAUGACUUGUGUUUUAACACGAUUCAUUCCCUAUAUUUAUGGAUCUGUCUUUUUUGGAGGUCGGUUGUAUAAGUAUGAUUUUUGAAGAUAAUAAAAUCUCUGUGAGUGAUUGAAAUAUAUACUGUGAUCCAUUAUUCAUCACUUAAGAACUGGUGAAAAAAAAGGUACUUUUCUUUCAUCUUUGAAAACGUGAAAAAGGUUUUUUGAAGAAAAAAGAAUAACAUUUUAAUAAGAAAGAUGUUUAUUAAAAACUUAUUUUUCUCACUGAUGAAAA